UGGGGAAUUUUGGACAAUGGGCGAAAGCCUGAUCCAGCAAUGCCGCGUGUGUGAAGAAGGCCUUCGGGUUGUAAAGCACUUUUGUCCGGAAAGAAAUCCUUGGCUCUAAUACAGUCGGGGGGAUGACGGUACCGGAAGAAUAAGCACCGGCUAACUACGUGCCAGCAGCCGCGGUAAUACGUAGGGUGCAAGCGUUAAUCGGAAUUACUGGGCGUAAAGCGUGCGCAGGCGGUUUGCUAAGACCGAUGUGAAAUCCCCGGGCUCAACCUGGGAACUGCAUUGGUGACUGGCAGGCUAGAGUAUGGCAGAGGGGGGUAGAAUUCCACGUGUAGCAGUGAAAUGCGUAGAGAUGUGGAGGAAUACCGAUGGCGAAGGCAGCCCCCUGGGCCAAUACUGACGCUCAUGCACGAAAGCGUGGGGAGCAAACAGGAUUAGAUACCCUGGUAGUCCACGCCCUAAACGAUGUCAACUAGUUGUUGGGGAUUCAUUUCCUAGUAACGUAGCUAACGCGUGAAGUUGACCGCCUGGGGAGUACGGUCGCAAGAUUAAAACUUAAAGGAAUUGACGGGGUCAUAGCUGUUUCC
rnacentral:rRNA from 1 species